rnacentral:rRNA from 1 species
CAGUAGCCACGGGAAUACGUAGGUGGCAAGCGUUGUCCGGAAUUAUUGGGCGUAAAGGGCUCGCAGGCGGUUUCUUAAGUCCGAUGUGAAAGCCCCCGGCUCAACCGGGGAGGGUCAUUGGAAACUGGGAAACUUGAGUGCAGAAGAGGAGAGUGGAAUUCCACGUGUAGCGGUGAAAUGCGUAGAGAUGUGGAGGAACACCAGUGGCGAAGGCGACUCUCUGGUCUGUAACUGACGCUGAGGAGCGAAAGCGUGGGGAGCGAACAGGAUUAGAUACCCCCGUAGUCCCUGUCUCUUAUAC